AAGGUAGGGCCGGGCGGGCCCGGGGGGGCUGCGGGAGGAGGAGUUUGCACGGCGAGCCCUUCCUUAGGGAUGCGCUCUGGAAAGCUCCAGCACAAAGGAACUGCACGGUGAGCAGAAGCCAGCGGAGCCGGCUGUCCCGGCCAUCCCCGGCGGUCCCCAGCUCGGCCCUCCCCCGGACAGCAGAAACCCCAUCAAGGAUAGGGCUCGAGACAGGUAAAUGGAUUCUUUCCUGAUUUUCAGUGGUCCUGGGAGGAAAUGUAGCCAAAACACUGGUUUAUUUCUUUGUCUUGAAACCACCAUUUGCUCCUAAACCUGGUGAUCUCAGGUAGGGGGUUAGUGGAGAGGCUGGGGCCAGCACACCCCAGGGCAUGGCAGCACAGCCCUUCCCCUGCAAAGGGUUAAUCUGACAGAUGCUGCCCGGGCUCCUUUUGGGGGAGCCAUUUUCUCUCCCUCAUUGUCUCACUGCCUUUUGUGUGUGCAACUGCAUCCUGCCCUGGGGAGCCAGGAGGAGCCCAGAAAUAAUCAGAUUUUCAGCUUCUUCAGAGCUUGCAGGGAGCUUUUCUCCACCACCACCACCCCCAACCCUGAGCUGCAGACAAAGGCAGCGCUGGCACGGCUGCGGCAGCGCAAGCAGUCAGGCUGUGCCGGUGGUGGGCAGCACUGGCAGGGCUUGUGCUCCCCUCCAGCCUCCUCUUUGUUUGAGGGGGUUUUUAGACCCCGUUUAACCCAAAUGCUGCACUUAGGUGCUCAGCCCUGGGGCACCAUACGUGCCACCAACCCUAUGUGGCAAGAGGCAGCUCGAGCUCCCAGCAGACAAUCACCGCUCGCCAUACACAAGGUGAGCGUUUCUUCCUUAAGUGCUGCCCGUACAGAAUUGGUUUUCUCCCUGCCAUCUCCUGGGAUGUGCUUCACUGCUGUGCGAGAGAGGCCAUCCUGCGGUGCCCACCCCAUGCAGACACGUCCUGCCCGCCCCUCAACAGGCACCUCCUGCUCGGAUCCAGGCAGGGAAUCCAUUUGCCAGACGCUCAAUGGCAUCUCAGGUGCCUGCUGUUGCUCCCUGCCGAGCCUGUGCACGGCUCACACUGCCCGGCCCCGUGGCAGCUGGUUUGCAAAUGCUGCCUGGCCGUGCUGUCCCAGCAAGAGGGACUGUCGUGCAGGCAGCGCCUGCAGCGUGCAGUGACAUUGAACUGCAGAAAGCAGUGGCGGCUCCGCAGCUGAACUGCAGAGCCAUCACAGCCCAGCUCCCUGUGACCUCCUGCUGCUGCGGCUCCUCCAUGCGGGCAGGGCAGGAGGAGGGCAGAGCAGGAGGGAUGCAGGGCAGGAGGGAUGCAGGGCAAGAGGGAUACAGGGCAAGAGGGAUGCAGGCACUGUGGGCUGCACUCCUGCCUGCCCUGCCCAGCCCUCCUGCCAGGUUCCCAGUGGCACGGUGCAUCCCCGUCAGCUAGGCUCUGCCCAGGGCCGGCGGCACGGUGUUGCUCUCCCUUGCUGCGUUGGUUGCUUUCUUUUGCAGCUGCUAAUGACUGACCUGAGGUCUGUUCACACACAGUCCCCUGCACGGCCUCCACGGCAGAGCAGCCAGACAGGACGGGGGGACGUUGCAUGGCAUUUGCAUAGCUGGUGACCACAGUGCCACCAGCCCCAGCUCCUGCCCAGCCAGACCGGCUGUGCCUGGAGAGAAGCCAGGGCUCGGGAACCUGCCAUCGCUGCCUGCACACGGAUGCCAGAGCCAGGCCGGCUGAGCAACGGCCAGCAAAGCAACGCGCUGCCGCCUGCCAUGGGACAGAGCCACAAGUCCGGCUGCUGUAGGGGACGCAGCCGAAGAGACAGUGGUGGUGACACCUGAGGACAGGGGUCUGCGCGUGUACAGGGUUUUCCUGCAAGGUGCUGGAGUUCCCUUCCCUCCUGCUGCUCCAUCCCAGCCAGACCCAGUGUGUGGGUCUCCCCAGGCACAAUGGGCAGGAUGAGACCCAUCCCUCUUGAAUGCCAUGUGGGAGAAGGGGAAGUUGACAGGAGCAGAGCUGUGCCAGCUCCUCAAGGAGACAUAACAGCGAGAGCCCAAAGGGACUCUGUUUGAUCCUGCUGGUCCCUCUGUCUGUAGGGAAAGUCCCAGUGCUUUCUGCUCUGCUUUGAGAAAUCACCUGGUUUGUGGAGCAGCCUGGGGCACAGGGAGCAACAGGGGCAGCAUAUCCUCCUCUCAAGGUGCCUGUGCCAUGGGUUCUGUGGGGCCAUGCAGGGCUGACAGUGGCAGCUCUCACCACUGUCCCACCGAGCAGCCUACUCCUGUGUCCCCUGAGCAGGCGGGAGGGAGGGCUGGUUGUGCAGCGGGCUGGGGGCUGAGGGCAGACACUGCUCAUGGCAAGCUUGUGGUGGGUGUUAAAGCUCCUGGAAGUCUAAAACAGAGAAGCAUCCCCAUGGUGACCAGGGGGACCUAGUGCUGCAGGAGGAGGUGACCCAGGAAACAUGGGGCAGUGGGUGCCCUGGGUGCCUCUUCCCAGCCCCAUUUCUCAGGACACAGUGCGGAGCUGCUGCUCCUGCCGCCCCUCGGCAAACAGCCCUGCUCACCUGCCUGCUCCUGCAAGAGCUUCUGCUGGGGAGGGCUAAGCCACUGGACAUUUAAUUCAGAAAGUAGGUUACAUUACACAGGCUAAAUCAUCCACUAACAUCUUCCCAAACCUCAAUCUAGUGGCAAAGCCCAAAAACGGAUCCUGCUCUUGUGAGCUGCUGCUCCACCGGCGGGGGGGGUGACCAGGACAGGCUCUGCAUGCUGCUGCUGUGCUCCCACAUUAACCCACUAACCUGCCAGGACCCCAAGGGCUGCUGAAGCCUCUGGCAAACAGACUAACCCACUAACCGGCCCAGCGCAUGCCCUACUAACCGGCCAUGCCUCGCCUGCACUAACCGUGGCGGCCAGCGCUGGCCUUAAAACGGAACGGAAAAGCUGGUAAGUAUGCUGGUAAUGCUGGGGGUUGCUGUGUUGGUGACAGGCAGCACAGGCAGGGCUGGGCAGCACCAGCCCCUGCCGGCACAGGCAGCCCCUGCUGGCACAGGGAGGGGGAUUCUUCCUGCACGCCGUGCCCAGGUCUGCCUGUGAAGUCUGCUGCUGACUGGGAGCCUAAAAUGGUUUUAUCAGCAGAAGCUUUUCAGUUCCUUUUUAAGCCAGUAGAUCUCUGUUACUAACACAUUCCUGAACUGAAUUAAACAAACUAACCGUUGCUGCUUUUCUCUUCAUUUCUCUUCCAGUAUGUAUGUCCUCUAAGUCAGACUGAUUGUGCCACGCUUCUGUUACUAACUGCCUGUACUAAUCAUUUCUGACUUGUUUCUCUAUUGCUACUAACAAAUACUCUUGCACUUUAACUCUCAGGUACUAUUCACCAUGACAAAUGAACAGUGGCCUCCUCUUGGACUCUUGGUUGUUAACUUGCAGCAGCUCCAUUUUCAGUGCUGCUGAGCAUGUCUAUCUCACAUUCAGUGCGAUGGAAAGGAAGAUGAUCAGGCUGCUUUGAAAAUUUCUCUAUUGGCCUUCUCCUUUCCAAGAAAUUUCAUGUGGUUAAAUGAGGAAAAGAGGCUAAGUGGAAAUAAGACAAUGUGGAAAUUGUUAAUAACAACUGGUGUUUGCCAAACAGGUCCAGCAAACCCAGUUUGCAGAGAGAUUCAGCCAAAGAGCGAUGCUGUUGCCAUGAGCCUCAGCAGAGCCUGAGUUUGGGGCUGUCCUGGGGCCCCAGUUCACCCGUCAUGGGGAAUGGCCUCGUGCUGCUCCUGCACUGGCACGCGGGUGCUCCCGUGCUCUCUUUACUCCCUUUGUCUCUCCACAGUUUCUCUUGUGACCCUGAUGCAUGUGGAAGGUGCUACCGGCAGCGUCAUCCUGACUAACCGCACGGCGCCGAGGGCUGUGUCUAACCGUGGGGCUGGUACUUGCAGGGUCCCCCCCACCAUGAGCUGGGGCACUGUCAGGCUGGGAUAGGGACACAGCCUGUGCUUUGCCUUCUGUCUGUCUGUCACUCAGAUAAACGUCCCCUGCCUCUGCAGAGACUCUGCUGGAGUUAAGGCUCCAGGAUGGGGCCCAUCUGUGUGGGUCUGUCAUGCAGGGUAGUGAUCUGUGGUGGACACUGUCAAUCCGUGGUGGGUAAUGUCAGCAGUAAGUGCUGGCUGUGCCAGCAGCAGUGCUGCGUGAGCAGCGGCACAGAACCAAGUCAUGCCCACCAUAAGGGGACGGUGGCCCCGUGCUGCUGGCUGCGAUAGGGGCUGGUUCACAAGGACACCCCAGACCAUGGCUGCUGGGGGGACACAGCUGUGGGGUGGCGUGGGGGGCCUGCUCAACCAAGGGUCGGGGCAGCUCUGUCCAGGGGUUGUACAGGUCUGGGCAAAAUCCAGCUAUGACUGGUCUCUCUUGGUUUUGGCUUGUGCUCACUAACUCUGUGUCAGGGACACCCCCAGGUAACCCAGUGUCACUAGUGACUUCAGUCUCACCCGCCAGCAGCUCUGCUGCCUACAGGUUCCCCUGGGUGUCCGGGUUCAUCCUGUGAUGCUGCCUUCCUCCCCUUGGCAUCCCUGCUCUGCACUGACCACAUCCUGGUCCUUCAGCUGCGGGGGUCUCACGAGGAUCCCCUCCCCACCCAGUACUACUGUUGUCCAACCUCCACCUUAACCCACUGGCCACGCACCUCCCUUUCUUCUGCAGGGCUGGGACCAGCUCAGGUUUUGGGCUGUUGCUCCUGUGUUUGACUGAGGAGGGGGCAGGACCCACUGGGGGCAGAGUGUUGAGCAGAGGCGAGGGGAGCGGGACGGGCGCAGGAGGACAAACUGACAUGGGCAUGGCUUGGGCAGGUUCAGAGCUCUUGCACUGGUCAGGAGCACCAUGAGCACUGGGCUGGAGUUGUCAGAGCCCACUCAUUUCAGCCCCAGAGCAGCCUUUCAGCCAGCCCUGCACCCAGGGGUCACUUCCCCAGGCUGGUCACCAAGGACAGUGGAUGGGAUCACUAGUCACCCAGAUGGCCCAGAGGAAACAUUUGGGCAUGUGUGACCCUGCACAGGCAGUGAGGGCUGCCCACAGACCCCUGGGUUGGGACAGACCACCAGUGCCUGCCAGAUGGCUGUUUCCCCAUGCAGAGGGGCUGGAGGGGUGAGAGAGGCUUCAUGAAACAGCCAGGUUGCUCCUUUGCUCUGCCCCAGCACCUCAGGGCUCUGCCCCUGCUCCUCAUUUUUCUCAGCUGGGAAAGGAGUCUGUCUGUCUGUCUGUCCCACUUUGCUGGUGCCCCCAGAGCUACCUGAAGAGAGGAGGCAGCAGCACGGGCGGGAUGUUAUGGGCAGGUCGCCCUUCACCAGCUGCCGCAACAGUGGGUGGGGGGCCAGGAGACACCAGCAGCGAUGUGGGCAGAGGUCUGGGGAUGGCAACCAGCCCUGGGAGGCACUGUCCUGCCCAGGACAUGCCAGCCUGAGCUGGCUGGAGUUGCCUCUGCUCUGCUGGGAACCCCUGCCAUCCCCUGCUCAGCACGGUGGGAGCAGGCACUGGUGUGGGCAAAGGAUGCUCUGGGAAAAGGGGUCCUUGGGCUGCCUCAGUCGGUGAGAGUGGGAGUCCCACGGAUCCCCAUGGUCCGAAGGAUGUCACCAUCUGUAAUGUCUGCUGUCAACAUGGCAAGUGUGCAACCACA